rnacentral:lncRNA from 1 species
AAACCAGUAUUGAAACUCCAACAUCGGGUCACAGCCCCCGCCCCUGGGGUCGGAGCACCUGUCAAUGCGGUGCUACAUCCUCCCUGCAGAGUCGGGUCAGGCGCUCCCGAACGUCGCGAUCCUGACAUCCCCGCCUCCCGAGCCCUGCAGAGACUUCCCAGCAUCGCAGUGGAGACCUGCACCCUGCCCGCCCCCCACCUGCCCCCCGCGACAGGACUCACCGAGCUCCAGCAGCUCAGCCCCGCCAGCCACACUCCCGCCUGGGGCUCCCGGAGAGCUCCCUCCGAGCGGCCGCCACAGCGACCGCGGAGAGCUCUGCACCCGAGAGCGGCGGGGAGGAGGGGACAACCGGAGCGGCGACGCCCAGCUCCGCCCCUUCCCGGCCCAGGGGAGGGUUGGCAUAGCCCGGUGCACACCCCGCUGCUGCCACAGCCACCGCAGCCGAGGAAGUUGACUGACGCCGCUUCCUUCCCCCCACCUUCAGACCCUCGCGCCCCCUUUAGCUGCAACUCCCCCGGGACUUUGAGGCAGCAAGGAUGCGGAGCUGAUCCCAAGCCUGGCUUUCUUUUCUCCCACCGCCCUGGGGUGAACGUUCAUGGUAGCUCAAGAAAUCACGUGGUGCACCCCAGGAAGGCCCCGAAGACACGCUCUCACAACCCCCGUGUACUUCUACUUGUAAUGACGGAGCUCGAUAUUCCUCAGAAAUGUCAGCUCUACAAUGUGGAAACUCAGCCCAGCUCUCAAACCUUGGGAAAAUUUUAUGGUUUUUCCAACACAUUAAAGAUAAACCCUCUUUGUGCUUAAAUUAGCCUGAGUUGGCAUGUGUUGGUGACACUAGAGAAGCUGACCGGUAGGAACUUCUAAUGGACCAGCCCUGUCUGGAAGAUGUGCAGCAAGUGUUUCACUGUUUCUGCUCACCCUGAGGUGGGUAUAAAGACGUUAAA